UCCGAGUUGACCCCGGCAGUCUCCUACGAGUCCCCGGCAUUACCCGCUGGCAACAUAGGACAAGGGUUGCGCUCGUUGCGGGACUUAACCCAACAUCUCACGAUACGAGCUGACGACAGCCAUGCACCACCUGUAUACCGACCUUGCGGGGAGUACAUUUCUGCACUUUUCCGGUACAUGUCAAGCCCAGGUAAGGUUCUUCGCGUUGCAUCGAAUUAAGCAACACGCUCCGCUGCUUGUGCGGGCCCCCGUCAAUUCCUUUGAGUUUUAACCUUGCGGCCGUACUCCCCAGGCGGGGCACUUAAUGCGUUAGCGACGGCGCGGAUCUCGUUGGUUGAGACCCACACCUAGUGCCCAACGUUUACGGCGUGGACUAC
rnacentral:misc_RNA from 1 species